rnacentral:rRNA from 1 species
GAGUUUGAUCGUGGCUCAGAACGAACGCUGGCGGCAUGCCUAACACAUGCAAGUCGAACGCCCCGCAGGGAGGUGGCGGACGGGUGAGUAACGCGUGGGAACCGUGCCCAAUGGUCUGGAAUAAACCGCGGGAAACUGCGGCUAAUACCGGAUAAGCCCGACGAGGGGAAAGGAUUUAUCGCCGAUGGGAGGGGCCCGCGUCCGAUUAGGUAGUUGGUGGGGUAACGGCCUACCAAGCCUACGAUCGGUAGCUGGUCUGAGAGGAUGAUCAGCCACAC